GGCUCAGGAUAAACGCUGGCGGCGUGCUUAACACAUGCAAGUCGAACGGAGUGGUUCUCCCGAGGAUUGAUAGUGCUUGCACUUGAUUGACUCAUUGAAUCACUUAGUGGCGGACGGGUGAGUAACGCGUGGGAAACCUGCCCUAUACUGGGGGAUAGCAGUUGGAAACGACUGAUAAUACCGCAUAAGCGCACAGCUUCGCAUGAAGCAGUGUGAAAAACUCCGGUGGUAUAGGAUGGUCCCGCGUCUGAUUAGCUAGUUGGUGAGGUAACGGCCCACCAAGGCGACGAUCAGUAGCCAGCCUGAGAGGGUGUACGGCCACAUUGGGACUGAGACACGGCCCAAACUCCUACGGGAGGCAGCAGUGGGGAAUAUUGGACAAUGGGGGAAACCCUGAUCCAAGCGACGCCGCGUGAACGAUGAAGUAUUUCGGUAUGUAAAGUUCUAUCAGCAGGGAAGAUAAUGACGGUACCUGACUAAGAAGCACCGGCUAAAUACGUGCCAGCCGCGGC
rnacentral:rRNA from 1 species